rnacentral:rRNA from 1 species
AUUGAACGCUGGCGGCAGGCUUAACACAUGCAAGUCGAGCGGAGAUGAGGUGCUUGCACCUUAUCUUAGCGGCGGACGGGUGAGUAAUGCUUAGGAAUCUGCCUAUUAGUGGGGGACAACAUUCCGAAAGGAAUGCUAAUACCGCAUACGUCCUACGGGAGAAAGCAGGGGAUCUUCGGACCUUGCGCUAAUAGAUGAGCCUAAGUCGGAUUAGCUAGUUGGUGGGGUAAAGGCCUGCCAAGGCGACGAUCUGUAGCGGGUCUGAGAGGAUGAUCCGCCACACUGGGACUGAGACACGGCCCAGACUCCUACGGGAGGCAGCAGUGGGGAAUAUUGGACAAUGGGGGAAACCCUGAUCCAGCCAUGCCGCGUGUGUGAGGAAGGCCUUAUGGUUGUAAAGCACUUUAAGCGAGGAGGAGGCUACUGAGACUAAUACUCUUGGAUAGUGGACGUUACUCGCAGAAUAAGCACCGGCUAACUCUGUGCCAGCCGCCGCUGUAAUAC